AGUGAACGCUGGCGGUAGGCCUAACACAUGCAAGUCGAACGGCAGCACAGUAAGAGCUUGCUCUUACGGGUGGCGAGUGGCGGACGGGUGAGGAAUACAUCGGAAUCUACUUUUUCGUGGGGGAUAACGUAGGGAAACUUACGCUAAUACCGCAUACGACCUACGGGUGAAAGCAGGGGAUCUUCGGACCUUGCGCGAUUGAAUGAGCCGAUGUCGGAUUAGCUAGUUGGCGGGGUAAAGGCCCACCAAGGCGACGAUCCGUAGCUGGUCUGAGAGGAUGAUCAGCCACAUUGGGACUGAGACACGGCCCAAACUCCUACGGGAGGCAGCAGUGGGGAAUAUUGGGCAAUGGGCGCAAGUCUGAUCCAGCCAUGCCGCGUGGGUGAAGAAGGGUUUCGGGUUUUAAAACCCUUUUGUUUGGGAAGAAAAAGAGCCAGUUUAACUCCCCGCGUUUUGACGGUAUCCAAAGAAAAAGCCACGGCUAACUUCGUG
rnacentral:rRNA from 1 species